rnacentral:rRNA from 1 species
AUUGAACGCUGGCGGCAGGCCUAACACAUGCAAGUCGAACGAGUGGCGGACGGGUGAGUAAUGUCUGGGAAACUGCCUGAUGGAGGGGGAUACCUACUGGAAACGGUAGCUAAUACCGCAUACCCUCAGAUGUGCACAGAUUGGAUUUGCUUGUUGGUGGGGUAACGGCUCACCAAGGCGACGAUCCAUAGCUGGUCUGAGAGGAUGACCAGCCAUACUGGAACUGAGACACGGUUCAGCCUCCUACGGGAGGCAGCAGUGGGUAAUAUUGCACAAUGGGUGCAAGCCUGAUGCAGCCAUGCCGCGUGUAGGAAGAAGGCCUUCGGGUUGUAAAGUACUUGCAGCGGGGAGGCGUUACCCGCAGAAGAAGCACCGGCUAACUCCGUGCCAGCAGCCGCGGGAAUUC